AUGAACGCUGGCGGCGUGCCUAAUACCUGCAAGUCGAGCGAACGGACGAGAAGCUUGCUUCUCUGAUGUUAGCGGCGGACGGGUGAGUAACACGUGGUUAACCUACCUAUAAGACUGGGAUAACUUCGGGAAAUCGGAGCUAAUACCGGAUAAUAUUUUGAACCGCUUGGUUCAAAAGUGAAAGAUGGUCUUGCUGUCACUUAUAGAUGGAUCCGCGCUGCAUUAGCUAGUUGGUAAGGUAACGGCUUAUCAAGGCAACGAUGCAUAGCCGACCUGAGAGGGUGAUCGGCCACACUGGAACUGAGACACGGUCCAGACUCCUACGGGAGGCAGCAGUAGGGAAUCUUCCGCAAAGGGCGAAAGCCUGGCGGAGCAACGCCGCGUGAGUGAUGAAGGUCUUCGGAUCGUAAAACUCUGUUAUUAGGGAAGAACAUAUGUGUAAGUAACUGUGCACAUCUUGACGGUACCUAAUCAGAAAGCCACGGCUAACUACGUG
rnacentral:rRNA from 1 species